rnacentral:lncRNA from 10 species
AUCAACCACAUCUUUUCCUUUCUCCCUCGAGAGAACAUGAGUAAUACCCUCAAAUUCCAAAUCCCCGCCAAAAAAUAAAGAAACGCGCGCAUCAUGGGCCUACAAUUUCUUUUCCCGCCCAGAGCCUGCCUGGGAAAGCCCCUGACCCAGAGAGUUGGGGGAAAGGCGGCCCAAACCACACGUGUGCGCCGCAAGGCUGGGCCUGUCUCAGCCCACUUCCCGUCGCCACCCCCAACGGCCUGAGCUCCCCCGGAGCCUCACUCGGGCCUUUCCUCAGGCCCUCCUGUCUGCUCCACGUGGGGCGCCGGGGCCUCGAACCGCCCGUCCCCUCCAGCCGAGUUUCCCCACCCGCCAGGCCACCGCGGCGUCGGGGUCCCAUACCUGAUGCUGUUGUCGCCCCUGCUGGUAAGGCUUAAUUGGCCCCUGGUGGCAACGCCGCGUCCGGAUCUUGCCGCCACCGCCCCCUCCGACUCCUCCGGCUCCCGAGGCCAUGGCGGAGCCUCCGCCGCUUCCCGCUCCGGGGCGGGUAAGGGGGCGGGAGAGGCAGAGGCGGAGGCCUUAGAGAGCCUCCCCCGCCGCCCGGCCCCGGCCCAAAAGUCCGCCCGCGCUGUCCACACAGUGGGCACAAGCACCCCAGGAACCGCGAGGUUGCGAGCAGGAGCGGAGAGAGGCCGUAGCUGCCGCAGUUGAAGCCGCUGGCGACGCCCGCCUACCCCUCCCCUGUGCGCACAGCGCCCGCCCCGCCGCCGUCGUCGUCGUCGUCCCUGCAGCCUCCGCCGCCGUUGCGCCUAUUACCCCUGCUAAGGCGGCUGCCGCGGUCGCGAGCCAGAAUGUCGUCACUCAUCGGCGCCCGACGCAUUUGCAUCAUCAUGCUGCGACGAGCUGAUAGGCAAAGAGGAAGGGCUGGUCGAGUCCACGCUCUCGGCCGCGCGGCACGCUGGGAAACGUAGUUCAACAACGGAACGCGGCUUCUCGGAAAGGAAGAGGGACGGGGAAGGAGAUCUCCGGGGCGCCGCAGAGGCACAAAGCCAAGGGGUACUUUUGCUGUUCUUGGCUGUAAAUUAGACUUUGAAAAGACACUUAACAUAAAAACAGUAACCUCUUCCCAUUCUCCUUCUCCCUGUCGGUUGGUUAAGUAGGCAGGAAGUAAGCAGACAGUAAAAUCAAAGACAAGAGCUAAUGAUUUAAGAAGGAGGAAAAAAAAAUCUGUGGUUGAAAAAUAAAGUCCAUGAUCCUUAGAAUUAGAAAAUAUAUACGGCUUCAUUAAUGUUUCUUUAAACAUAUAAAGGUUUUGUUGCAGACACACGGGGCUGGAAUUCUGGUUCUGCCACCCAACCUAUUUGACCUUGGAUGAAUCAAAACCGUCUGAGCCUUAGCUUCCUCCUCCAUAAAAUGGGAGCUUUAAAAUCCACCUUAUAAAGCUGUUGUGAGGAGCAGACGUGAUCAUCUAUGGAGAGCAUGUAUAUUUGCUAAUAGACGAAAAAUGCGAUGAAUGAUUACAAUUAUAACCCAUGCAGUCAGCUAACAUUAGGGGCACUCCUUGCCAUUUCCUGUUGCUACCAUACUUUAUUAUUUUAAAGUGUAUUCCUGGUCAGGCAUGUGGCUCACACCCAUAAUCUCAGCACUUUGGGAAGCCAAGGCAGGAGGAUCACUUGAGGCCAGGAGAUUGAAACCAGCCUGGGCAACAUAACGAGACCCCUUCUCUACAAAGAAAUGAAAAAAUUAGUUGAGCUUAGUGGUGUGCACCUGUAGUCCCAGCUACUAGGGAGGCUGAGGCAGGAGGAUCACUUGAGCCCAGGAGUCUAAGGCUGCAGCGAGCUAUGAUCUCACCACUGCAGUCCAGCCUAGGUAACAGAGUGAGACCCCAUCUCUAAAGAAAAAAAUAAAGAAAAUGAAGCUAUUGGGUUUAUUUAUUAUUUAUUUAUUUAUUUAUUGCCUGUUUGCUUGUAUUUUAGGGAAAGAAGGGCCACACAACGGAAAGAUAUUUAAGGAUGUAAAUCAUUGUAUUCUCAUUAACUUACUGUGUUCUCUCUCUAUUGGGAAUAAAGUAAUAUUUAAG